GAGUUUGAUCAUGGCUCAGAUUGAACGCUGGCGGCAGGCCUAACACAUGCAAGUCGAGCGGCAGCACAGAGAAACUUGUUUCUCGGGUGGCGAGCGGCGGACGGGUGAGUAAUGCCUGGGAAAUUGCCCUGAUGUGGGGGAUAACCAUUGGAAACGAUGGCUAAUACCGCAUAAUAGCUUCGGCUCAAAGAGGGGGACCUUCGGGCCUCUCGCGUCAGGAUAUGCCCAGGUGGGAUUAGCUAGUUGGUGAGGUAAUGGCUCACCAAGGCGACGAUCCCUAGCUGGUCUGAGAGGAUGAUCAGCCACACUGGAACUGAGACACGGUCCAGACUCCUACGGGAGGCAGCAGUGGGGAAUAUUGCACAAUGGGCGCAAGCCUGAUGCAGCCAUGCCGCGUGUGUGAAGAAGGCCUUCGGGUUGUAAAGCACUUUCAGUCGUGAGGAAGGUGGUGUUGUUAAUAGCAGCAUCAUUUGACGUUAGCGACAGAAGAAGCACCGGCUAACUCCGUGCCAGCAGCCGCGGUAAUAC
rnacentral:rRNA from 1 species